rnacentral:rRNA from 1 species
CCCCUAGACGUUCUGGGCUGCACGCGCGCUACAAUAAUACGCACAGCGAGUAUCACCGAGCUCGAAAGGGCAAGGUAAGCAAUAGAAAAGGUACUGUAAUGGUUAUAGAUCCUUGUAAUUAUUGAUCUUCAACGAGGAAUUCCUAGUAAGUAUGUGUCAUCAUCACGCACUGAUUACGUCCCUGCCCUUUGUGCACACCGCCCGUCGCUCCUACCGAUUGGGUGAGCCGAUGAAAUUUUUGGAUUGCGGGUUUUGUUUUACUGUUAGUUCGCUAGUAGUAACGCCUGUGAGAAGUUAAUUUAAUCUUACAAUUUAGAGGAAGGAGAAGUCGUAACA